rnacentral:lncRNA from 1 species
CCUAAAUCAAAGAGCAACUCUGAUUUAGAAGACGAAAUAGAGGGUGUAAUGAAGGAUUAAUUAAAAGCAAAAUGAAGAAGCACAAUCUAACGAAUGCAAAAAUUAUUUUAUGAUUUCAAGCAAGGUUAAGAGUGUACUCAAUUUUUUCUUGAGAGGUGCGAUUGAGAUAUGCGAUUGAAGUUCGAGAGAAUUGGAAGGUCGAGGGGAUGAAAUCAAUGCAUCGGAGCAGGCUAUGAGAGAUGCGAUUGAGACAAUCCAUAGUAUAUACAAAUAAGCUUCGGCCUGCAGUACCUAAAUUACUCCCUAAUCAAAAUCCAGUGAAUAAAAAUCUAAAAUUAGGGUAACUAUAAACCAUACAUCAAUUAAGCCCUG